AACGAACGCUGGCGGCAUGCCUGACACAUGCAAGUCGAACGAGACCUUCGGGUCUAGGGGCGCACGGGGGCGUAACGCGGGGUAACCUACCCUUAGGUUCGGAAUAACUCCCCGAAAGGGGUGCUAAUACCGGAUAAUGUCAUCGGACCAAAGAUUUAUCGCCUUUGGAUGGGCCCGCGUUGGAUUAGCUAGUUGGUAGGGUAAAAGCCUACCAAGGCGACGAUCCUUAGCUGGUCUGAGAGGAUGAUCAGCCACACUGGAACUGAGACACGGCCCAGAAUGGUACGGGAGGCAGCAGUGGGGAGUAUAGGAGACUGGGCGAAAGCGUAACAACGCAAUGCCGGGUGAGUGAUGAAGGCGUUAGGGUUGUACAGCUCUUUUAGACGGGAUGAUAAUGACAGUAACGGGAGAAUAAGCACCGGCUAACUACGUG
rnacentral:rRNA from 1 species